rnacentral:tRNA from 1 species
AAAAUCCGUUGGCUUGAUUGACCGUGAGGGUUCAAGUCCCUCUACCCCCA